CGAACGGGUGAGUAACACGUGAGCAACCUGCCCUAUACAACGGGAUAGCACAGAGAAAUUUGUGCUAAUACGGUAUAAGACCACAGUAUCGCAUGAUACAGGGGUAAAAGAUUUAUCGGUAUAGGAUGGGCUCGCGACCCAUUAGCUAGUUGGUGAGGUAACGGCCCACCAAGGCAACGAUGGGUAGCCGACCUGAGAGGGUGAUCGGCCACACUGGGACUGAGACACGGCCCAGACUCCUACGGGAGGCAGCAG
rnacentral:rRNA from 1 species